rnacentral:rRNA from 1 species
UACGUAGGGCGCAAGCGUUGUCCGGAAUUAUUGGGCGUAAAGAGCUCGUAGGCGGUUUGUUACGUCCGCUGUGAAAACCCGCGGCUCAACCGCGGGCCUGCAGCCGAUACGGGCAGGCUAGAGUUCGGUAGGGGAGACUGGAAUUCCUGGUGUAGCGGUGAAAUGCGCAGAUAUCAGGAGGAACACCGAUGGCGAAGGCAGGUCUCUGGGCCGAUACUGACGCUGAGGAGCGAAAGCGUGGGGAGCGAACAGG